rnacentral:tRNA from 1 species
AUAGGAGAUGUUAAAAGUACAUUAUUUAGGACUGAAAAUCCUCGUGUCGGCAGUUCGAUUCUGCCUCUGGCCACCA